UAACACCUGGAAACAGAUGCUAAUACCGGAUAACAACAGAUGAUGCCUAUCAACUGUUUAAAAGAUGGUUCUGCUAUCACUCUUGGAUGGACCUGCGGUGCAUUAGCUAGUUGGUAGGGUAACGGCCUACCAAGGCGAUAAUGCAUAGCCGAGUUGAGAGACUGAUCGGCCACAUUGGGACUGAGACACGGCCCAAACUCCUACGGGAGGCAGCAGGU
rnacentral:rRNA from 1 species